UAAGUAUGUUUAGUUCAUUACGGAAAAGUCAUCCUGUUUUGCAGAUUGUAAAUGGGGCAUUGAUUGAUUUACCAUCACCUGUUAAUUUAUUUAUUUGAUGGAAUUUUGGUUCUUUAUUAAGAUUAUGUUUAAUUAUUCAAUUAAGAAGAGAGAGAGAGAGAAAGAACACAC